GCGUUUGUGGUUUAAUGGUAAAAUCCAUCGUUGCCAUCAUCUUCUCUUCACUAAAAGAGAACUUGAAACAACGUCGAUGGGCUCCGGGUUCGAUUCCCGGCGAACGCA